GUCUAUGGCCAUGCUGCUCUUAACAUGCCUGAUCCCAUCUGAUCUCAGAAGCUAAGCAGGGUCGGGGCUAGUUAGUACUUGGAUGGGAGACCACCUAGGAAGACCAGAUGCUGUAGGCA
rnacentral:rRNA from 1 species